GAUGAACGCUGGCGGCGUGCCUAAUACAUGCAAGUCGAGCGAAUGGAUUAAGAGCUUGCUCUUAUGAAGUUAGCGGCGGACGGGUGAGUAACACGUGGGUAACCUGCCCAUAAGACUGGGAUAACUCCGGGAAACCGGGGCUAAUACCGGAUAACAUUUUGAACCGCAUGGUUCGAAAUUGAACGGCGGCUUCGGCUGUCACUUAUGGAUGGACCCGGGUCGCAUUAGCUAGUUGGUGAGGUAACGGCUAACCAAGGCAACGAUGCGUAGCCGACCUGAGAGGGUGAUCGGCCACACUGGGACUGAGACACGGCCCAGACUCCUACGGGAGGCAGCAGUAGGGAAUCUUCCGCAAUGGACGAAAGUCUGACGGAGCAACGCCGCGUGAGUGAUGAAGGCUUUCGGGUCGUAAAACUCUGUUGUUAGGGAAGAACAAGUGCUAGUUGAAUAAGCUGGCACCUUGACGGUACCUAACCAGAAAGCCACGGCUAACUACGUGCCAGCAGCCGCGGUAA
rnacentral:rRNA from 1 species